UACAGAGGGGGCAAGCGUUGUUCGGAAUUACUGGGCGUAAAGGGCGCGUAGGCGGCCUGUUAAGUCGAACGUGAAAUCCCUGGGCUCAACCCAGGAACUGCGUCCGAUACUGGCAGGCUUGGAUUCGGGAGAGGGAUGCGGAAUUCCAGGUGUAGCGGUGAAAUGCGUAGAUAUCUGGAGGAACACCGGUGGCGAAGGCGGUUCUCUGGGCAUUACCUGACGCUGAGGAGCGAAAGCGUGGGGAGCAAACAGG
rnacentral:rRNA from 1 species